rnacentral:rRNA from 1 species
GGAUGAACGCUGGCGGCGUGCCUAAUACAUGCAAGUCGAGCGAACAGACGAGGAGCUUGCUCCUUUGACGUUAGCGGCGGGCGGGUGAGUAACACGUGGGUAACCUACCUAUAAGACUGGGAUAACUUCGGGAAACCGGAGCUAAUACCGGAUAAUAUUUCGAACCGCAUGGUUCGAUAGUGAAAGAUGGCUCUGCUAUCACUUAUAGAUGGACCUGCGCCGUAUUAGCUAGUUGGUAAGGUAACGGCUUACCAAGGCAACGAUACGUAGCCGACCUGAGAGGGUGAUCGGCCACACUGGAACUGAGACACGGUCCAGACUCCUACGGGAGGCAGCAGUAGGGAAUCUUCCGCAAUGGGCGAAAGCCUGACGGAGCAACGCCGCGUGAGUGAUGAAGGUCUUCGGAUCGUAAAACUCUGUUAUUAGGGAAGAACAAACGUGUAAGUAACUGUGCACGUCUUGACGGUACCUAAUCAGAAAGCCACGGCUAACUACGUG